GCCAGGUGCGGUGGUGUAUGCCUGUAAUCCCAGCAGCUCAGGAGGCGGAGGCAGGAGGAUGGUAAGUUGAAAGCCAGCCUCAGUAAAAAGCGAGGUGCUAAGCAACUCAGUGAGAUCCUGUCUCUA
rnacentral:sRNA from 1 species